GGUGGCUGUGGUCCAUCCCUGGGGUCACCGGGCCCUGUGCCUCCGCUCCUCCCAGGUCCACCCAGGGCGGGUGCCUGCUCCCCACCCAGCCUCGGCGUCUCCACCUGCCAAAUGGGUUCCAGCUCUUGUCCUCUGUGGUCUGGGGUGGGCACCCAGGAAGUGAGACUUGCGAGGCACCCCUAGGCUUGGUCUCAAAGGGAGAAAACAUCCCCUGAGCCUGCUCCAGAGCCCCCAAGUAGAAAUCUCUGGGUGACUGCCUUUGCCCUGGGGGAGGGGGGGUGAUCCCUAGGGGUGGGUUCCCACUGGUCCCAAAGUGUGCACCAGGUCACUCCUGGAACCACAGGCCCUGGCUGCUCUCCCCAGCAUCCAUUUCACAGCCUUGCCUCGCGAAGGAAUCCCGGCCUCCGGUUCGGGAGCAUCCUCCCAGGCCUCCUCCAGAACAUUCGCUCACACACGGAUACUCAGGCUCGCAGACGUAUACGGACGCACACGCAUAUGUACGCAGACACACGUGCACCCAGACUCACAGGAACACGCGGACACGUGGGAACGCUGAUUACGUAAAGAGCUUCCUCUGUCUGUGGACCAGCUCCGCGCACCAGCUCUGAAGGUGUUUCCAUUGGGUGAAGGCACUUGGUGGCCUUGCACGCUGCACGAGUUCUGAGCUUCAGAAUGUGUCACUGCAGGCUGUCGGGUUCAGGAGCCAGUCUCACACAGGUGAAUCCCGACAGGACCCACAGACAGAUGAGGACGGAGACAGGAGGAGACUGAGUCUGCAGUGUGCCAACCCUGGGCUGCCCCUGUGCUUGGCUGCCACACUGUCUCACCUGGGUCUGGGCUGAGGACCUGGCCCUGGAGACCAAGGACAUUCCAGAGCCUUGGUUUGGAAUCCUCAGUUCCGUGGACGUGGAUGUCCUCGUGGAGUGUGCACGAGCCAGACAGGCCUGGGCUGGAGCUCCUGCCUCUGCUCUCUGCGAGUCUGUUUCCCCACGGUCAGAUGGGAGAGUGAGGGCUCCCAGCUUGCAGAAGGGCAGGAACUGGUGCUGUUGACCCGGGGUGGCACUGGCAUGAUCUGGAGAAGAACCUGGCUUCUGGUUUGGGGUUGGCCCCCACCCGUGAGGCUGGUACCUGUUUUGUCUGUGGACAGGUUAUGCUGUGAGAUUGUCUUUGCCGAUAAUUUAUUUAACACAAGUUCACUGGGAUUAUAACAAUUUCACAAGCCAGUAGCAUACAGGAUAAUGUCUCUUAAUAAGGCAAUAAAGAAAUAAAAAGGGGCUGGCCCUGCGGCCUAGUGGUUAAGUUUGGCACGCUCCACUUCGGCAGUCUGGGUUUGGUUCCUGGGCACAGACCUACACCACUUGUCAGCAGCCACACUGUGGCAGCAGCUCGCUCACAAAAUAGAGGAAGAUUGGCACAGAUGUUACCUUAGGGCAAAUCUUCCUCAGCAAAAAAAGAAAAAGAAAGAAAUUGUAUACUCCAAACCAAUGAUCGACUAAUUACACUCUUGUUCCAGGCAAAGGGGAGAGGAAAGAAAUAAAGUCCAAAUUUACUUGAGGUGUCCCUUUCUCUGAGCUGAUUCUUGGACAAGUCGACUUAGAGCUGACAUCCAGCUGCCAUUGCAAAGUGAGGAUGUCAUCAGCGCAGUGCCAUCCCCGUGCUCCUGGAGGACGGCGGCUGCAGUGAAGAUCCCAUCUGCAGAGAUGGCGUGUGAGGGCGUAGCUGUCGCAGUGCCCCACGGGCAGCCUGGCAGAGCUGUGUGUGUCCCUUCGGAGGAGGAUUAGCCCUGGGCUGACUACUGCCAGUCCUCCUCUUUUUGCUGAGGAAGACUGGCCCUGAACUAACAUCCAUGCCCAUCUUCCUCUACUUUAUAUGUGGGACGCCUACCACAGCAUGGUGUGCCAAGCGGUGCCAUGUCUGCACCUGGGAUCCCAACCGGUGAACCCCGCCCGCUGAGAAGCGGAACGUGCGAACUUAACCACUGCACCACCAGGCCGGCCCCUUAUAUUAACUAUUUUAACUGGGGGUCCAGUUAAUCAAGCCAGUUUGUCAAUGCCAAAAACUUACUUUAAUUUUAAUUUAUUAUUCUUUGUGUUAGCGCAUCUUUGCCUGAUGUGGGAUAUUUUUGGACAAAGAGUACUAUGACUAUGGGAAAUUAGGCAAGGCUGCGGUUCGAGUGAGGUCUGUCUGUUUUCCCUCUGUUUUAUAUUUAGUGACUUCCCAAGGUGAUAGGGACUACGAUGUUUACGUCUAGUGGGAUCCCCAGCUGUGACUCUCCUUUGAGCCCCAGUGUUGAUUAAGGCCGUGAAGUUUGUCAAUGGGUGCAUCUUAGCAAAUAAUUUAGCACCUACGUGCACCCAAGCCAACUGGCACAUUUAAAAAUCUUUUUGUUAUAUAAAUUAUUUUUGUAUAUAGAUAAAUUCUGUUGUAUAUUUGUUAUGUAUAAUUAUUAUACAUAUAAUUUGUUAUGUUGAUUUUUAGCAUAUAAACUUUGGAUUUCCAAUUAGGUCAAUUUAUGGACCUUUGUUUUAAUAUAUGUAAAAUUUAUUUAUUAUAUAUUUUGUAGCUGUAUUAAAAAUAUUGAAAAAUG
ensembl:lncRNA